UGCUGGAGGUAUCAGAAGUGCGAAUGCUGACAUAAGUAACGAUAAAGCGGGUGAAAAGCCCGCUCGCCGGAAGACCAAGGGUUCCUGUCCAACGUUAAUCGGGGCAGGGUGAGUCGACCCCUAAGGCGAGGCCGAAAGGCGUAGUCGAUGGGAAACGGGUUAAUAUUCCCGUACUUGGUGUUACUGCGAAGGGGGGACGGAGAAGGCUAUGUUGGCCGGGCGACGGUUGUCCCGGUUUAAGCGUGUAGGUGUGUGUUCCAGGUAAAUCCGGUUCACUUUAACACUGAGGCGUGACGACGAGGCACUACGGUGCUGAAGCAACAAAUGCCCUGCUUCCAGGAAAAGCCUCUAAGCAUCAGGUAACACGAAAUCGUACCCCAAACCGACACAGGUGGUCAGGUAGAGAAUACCAAGGCGCUUGAGAGAACUCGGGUGAAGGAACUAGGCAAAAUGGUGCCGUAACUUCGGGAGAAGGCACGCUGACAUGUAGGUGAAGUGAUUUACUCAUGGAGCUGAAGUCAGUCGAAGAUACCAGCUGGCUGCAACUGUUUAUUAAAAACACAGCACUGUGCAAACACGAAAGUGGACGUAUACGGUGUGACGCCUGCCCGGUGCCGGAAGGUUAAUUGAUGGGGUCAGCGCAAGCGAAGCUCCUGAUCGAAGCCCCGGUAAACGGCGGCCGUAACUAUAACGGUCCUAAGGUAGCGAAAUUCCUUGUCGGGUAAGUUCCGACCUGCACGAAUGGCGUAAUGAUGGCCAGGCUGUCUCCACCCGAGACUCAGUGAAAUUGAACUCGCUGUGAAGAUGCAGUGUACCCGCGGCAAGACGGAAAGACCCCGUGAACCUUUACUAUAGCUUGACACUGAACAUUGAGCCUUGAUGUGUAGGAUAGGUGGGAGGCUUUGAAGUGUGGACGCCAGUCUGCAUGGAGCCGACCUUGAAAUACCACCCUUUAAUGUUUGAUGUUCUAACGUGGACCCGUUACCCGGGUUGCGGACAGUGUCUGGUGGGUAGUUUGACUGGGGCGGUCUCCUCCUAAAGAGUAACGGAGGAGCACGAAGGUUGGCUAAUCCUGGUCGGACAUCAGGAGGUUAGUGCAAUGGCAUAAGCCAGCUUGACUGCGAGCGUGACGGCGCGAGCAGGUGCGAAAGCAGGUCAUAGUGAUCCGGUGGUUCUGAAUGGAAGGGCCAUCGCUCAACGGAUAAAAGGUACUCCGGGGAUAACAGGCUGAUACCGCCCAAGAGUUCAUAUCGACGGCGGUGUUUGGCACCUCGAUGUCGGCUCAUCACAUCCUGGGGCUGAAGUAGGUCCCAAGGGUAUGGCUGUUCGCCAUUUAAAGUGGUACGCGAGCUGGGUUUAGAACGUCGUGAGACAGUUCGGUCCCUAUCUGCCGUGGGCGCUGGAGAACUGAGGGGGGCUGCUCCUAGUACGAGAGGACCGGAGUGGACGCAUCACUGGUGUUCGGGUUGUCAUGCCAAUGGCACUGCCCGGUAGCUAAAUGCGGAAGAGAUAAGUGCUGAAAGCAUCUAAGCACGAAACUUGCCCCGAGAUGAGUUCUCCCUGAGACUUAGAGUCUCCUGAAGGAACGUUGAAGACGACGACGUUGAUAGGCCGGGUGUGUAAGCGCAGCGAUGCGUUGAGCUAACCGGUACUAAUGAACCGUGAGGCUUAACCUUACAACGCCGAAG
rnacentral:rRNA from 1 species